rnacentral:tRNA from 1 species
GUAAAUAUAGUUUAAUCAAAACACUAGAUUGUGAAUCUAGCAAUAGGAGUCUAUUCCUCCUUAUUUACC